rnacentral:rRNA from 1 species
AUUGAACGCUAGCGGGAUGCCUUACACAUGCAAGUCGAACGGAGUGGCGAACGGGUGAGUAAUGUAUCGGAACGUGCCCAGUAGCGGGGGAUAACUACGCGAAAGCGUAGCUAAUACCGCAUACUAUUGGAGCGGCCGAUAUCGGAUUAGCUAGGUGGUGGGGUAACGGAUUACCAAGACGACGAUCCGUAGCUGGUUGGAGAGGAAGACCAGCCACACUGGGACUGAGACACGGCCCAGACUCCUACGGUAGGCAGCAGGGGGGAAUGUUGUACAAUGGGGGAAACCCUGAUCCAGCCAUUCCGCGUGUGAGAUGAAGGCCUUCGGGUUGUAAAGCGCUUUUGGCAGGAAAGCGGUACCUGCAGAAUAAGCACCGGCUAACUACGUGCCAGCCGCCGCGGUAAUAC